rnacentral:lncRNA from 10 species
CCUACCUCAUGAUCCACCCACCUCAGCUUCCCAAAGUGCUGGGAUUACAGGCAUGAGCCACUGCUCCCAGCCUGGCUGAGAAGCAAUUCUAAGCCACCACACAGAGUUGCAAAACCAUAAAACAAUUAGCAAUAACUCUGCCAUCAAACAGUUAAUUACCAGGGAGUGUAAAUAUGUGCUCAAGGCUCCAACUUACAGACUAAUAGGAGUUUUGAAGCUUGCCGUUUUUUGAAGGCUUAUACAAAAUAGUUUCCUGCAAACUCAAGUGGCUGGGAAGCCCAGCUGAAGGUUACUUCUACCCCAAGGCCAUGUCAGCAGAAAGUGGCCAACAGGACUUGGGCCUGAAAAAGCUCAGACUGAAUUUUAGGAGUGACAUCUGAAACUGCUGGUUUCUCACAAGGAAUAAAAGCUGUCUGGGAAGCUGGAGAGGCAGUGUGCUGUCUGGAGCAGGGACUUGCAAAUGGGAACAGUGAAGAGAGACAGCAUCUCCUUCCUCUGAAGAUUCUGUUCAGAAUGGAUAAAGGUUCAGCAUCCUCCCUGGAUGGGGCAGCUUAGCAGACCCAGAGGAAAGCACUGGGAGGAAUGAGAAAGUAGCGACUAGACAAAAAUGAAAACUCUUUAAGAAGCAUUGCUGAAGUUACAGGGGAAAAAGAUUAAGACAACUGAGGUUAAGGGCCUGACUCCAGAUCACACAGCAAGGGAGAUGGCAAAAUCAAGAUUUCAACCCAGGAAACCUGCCUCCCAUGCCUAUGUUAAUCACUACACCCUUCCCACAAUAAAUAAUCAAAUAAGCUAUUA